UUCACCGCCUUGGAAUUACAGCUGGGAAAUGCUUCUGGAAAAACAGAAGAUGUGCUGGAGGAAGAUAGUGUUGUCUCCCUGGCCUGGCAGGUCACAGCUGGAAGUAACCAUGAGGUAUUUCACAGUGGAAGGGAAGGAUGAAACACUAGGGAGAGAAACUGCUUGAAAACUGAAAUAAGGGAAAUGAGAGCAAAAGCUGCAGCAGUCACUGAUUGUAGAGCUGCUUUUCACACACAGCUCUGGGAUCUGCCCUGAAAUCCCAGCUUGUUUUCCCAGGAGUUUCCACUCCUCCUGGAAGGAGGAUUCACAGACUCAACCUUCCCCAGCUCUCAGACCUUCUUGUGCAAUCCAUGUCCCAUCGUAGACACGUCUGGGAGAAUUGCAGAGAUUUCCUGAGAGUGCUGCCAUGGAAAUUCCUGAGAUUUCUGGUUUUCUGGAGCAGCACUGAGGUCAUCGCAGCCGGCCGCGCUUUUAUUUCAGCGCGGUUGUCUCGGCAACAGGGGCAGAAACAAAACACAGGGUCCAGCACAGAGAAGUUUCCUGGCUGCUGGGGCUCAUUUUUCUUCACGAGCUGGAUUUGGGAGGCAGCAGAGCAGCCACUCAUGGAAAACUCGAAUGUCUUUUCCCUGUCUGCUCCCCCGUCUCUCUCUCCUCCGCAGCAACGGAGAUAAAGGUUACACAUCUGGUUCAGAUCUGCUCUGUUUAACCAAAAAAAAAAAAAAAGGAAAAAAAGAAGGGAAAAAAAAAAGAAAAAAAAGCCGUGCUCCUGCUGUGCCAUAAAUCAUCCCACAGCUGGAGCGCACUCGGGCUCUCGCUGGGGCUGUUUAUCCCGCCACGUCCCACUGAGCCCCGGGGUUUGCUUUCCCCAGAGCUGCCUGCUGCCAUUUUGAGUGAUCCCCGGCCUCUGGGCAAGGUCUGGGAAGUUGAAAUUCAUCGUGGACUAAAGUUUUGGGGGUUAAAACCAGCCGGGAUGCUCAGCUCACAGGGAUGGCGCUUGCUUGCAGUGAGCUCCCUGCCAGGUGCUGCUCCCCAGGAGCAGCUAUUCUGCCCCCAAAACACUUAUGGGGCUGCAAAACAUAGGCAGGAAGCAACAGAGCACCUAGAAAAUCUAGGAUCUUCUAAAUCCCCUUCUUCUAGCUUAUCAUCUCCACCUUGCUCCAGUGAUUUUGGGGUUGGGACUUGCAAUAUUUCCAUCCCGCAAGCAGAAGAUCCCUGGCCAAAGAAAUGCCCACACUUCUGCCCCAGUGAUCCAAAGAUCCUUUGCUGCAGGCUCAGCUGCUCCAAGUUUAUCUGCAUCUCUGCUCAAGCACUUGGAUACAGUCCUAAUUUCCAGGAAUGCCCAGCAUCAUUUUCCUUGAACUCCUGACCUUGCAAUGUCGACACUGGCAGUGUAGGGCACUGCUGGAAAACCCAGGAAGGAUCUGGGCAGGUACAUCUGAGCAUCUAGAGAGUUCUAGACUGGCUUCUUUCACUCAUGUAAUAAAUUUAAUACUGGCUAAUAAAA